rnacentral:rRNA from 1 species
AAAAACUACCCCGGGGAUAACAGGCUUAUCUCCCCCAAGAGUUCACAUCGACGGGGAGGUUUGGCACCUUGAUGUCGGCUCAUCGCAUCCUGGGGCUGUAGUCGGUCCCAAGGGUUGGGGUGUUCGCCCAUUAAAGCGGUACGCGAGCUGGGUUCAGAACGUCGUGAGACAGUUCGGUACCUAUCCGUCGUGGGCGUAGGAAAUUUGAGAGGAGCUGUCCUUAGUACGAGAGGACCUGGAUGGACAUACCUCUGGUGUACCAGUUGUCGUGCCAACGGCAUAGCUGGGUAGCUAUGUGUGGACGGGAUAAGUGCUGAAAGCAUCU